rnacentral:lncRNA from 1 species
AAGAGCACAAAUGGAGGAGGAAAUUUUGUUCAUAACUUUGCUGGGAGAAUGUUUGGCCAAAUGCAGUGGCCUGAGGCCAGAAAAUGCCAUUUUUUAUCUCCAGUGCAGACAGGCAGAGAGGAGGUGUAAUGGAUUUAGCAAGAUAAAGACUUGGACCCACAGAAAAAGAAACACACACACAUCCACAUGCACACGUGAUCCUCACGGAAAAUUAGACUUCACUUCCACCUCUUGAGGUGGGAAUUGUAGUCUUACUGAAAUUACAGAGACGAAGCUACGGUCAUAUUACACAAAGCUGUAUCUAUCAGUGAAGGGUGGCCUCUUGGGAAUGAACUAUUUAAACAACAAUUGCGUGUCCAGAAUUCAUGAUCGGACUUGAACACCCAUCUUACUAGCCGACUUUUGCUGUCAACUGUCUCCCUUGCUGGCUUUGAUGGAGUAAGCUGCCAUAGAGAGAGGUCCUGGAGAAGAACUGAGGGUGGCCUCUGGCUGAGGGCCCACAAGAAGCUGAGGCCCUCAGGCCAACAACCCUCAAGGAACUGAAUUCUGUCAACAACCACAUGAUUUUGGAAGCAGAACCUUCCCCGGUCAAGCUGCAGAUAAGAUCCCCAGCCCUGACUGACUCCCGGAUUAAAGCACCGUAAGAGAAUCUAAAACAGAGGAAUCAGCUAAACUGUGCCUGGACUCCUGACCCACAGGAACUGUGAAAUAAUAAAUGUGCUGUUUAAAAGUACGAAGUUUGUGGUAAUUUGUUAUGCAGCAGUAGAUAAGUAACACAACAAAGCAGUUAUAACCUUCUGUACCUGACAUCCUGUGAGCAUGACAAUACUCUUCUUAUGAUACCAGCAUUACACAUGUAACAGAAACCACUCCAUUAUGACAUACACAAACAUAUUGUAAGCUGCUGUUACUAUGCUGGGUUGAGAAUUAUUCAUCUUUCUAGAACUCCUAGGGUACUUGUUCUGUAUUUAGAUUCUCAUUUAAUCAGGACUCAUUUCCAGGCUUCUUCCUGCUGAUUGUAAAUACCAUGCUCACACACACAGGUCCACAUUCACACAUACAGAUCCACAUUCACACACACAGGUCCACACACACACACACAGGUCCACGUUCACAUACAGAUCCACAUUCACACACACAGGUCCACACACACACACACAGGUCCAUGUUCACAUACAGAUCCACAUUCACACACACACAGUUGCACACUCACACACAGGCCCACACUCACACACACAGGUCCACACUCACACACACAGGCCCACACUCACACACACACAUCCACACUCACACACAGGCCCACACUCACACACACAGGUCCACUCUCACACACAGGCCCACACUCACACAGGCCCACGUUCACACACACAGGUCCACAUUCACACACAAGAUCCACACUCACACACACAGGUCCUGCAUCUCGCUGAAUUUAAUUAAGGAUCAACCUGAAAUAAAAUGGCUCCAACAGGGCAGAGGAUGCCUCUGAGAGGUUCUGAGGACAGGAGCAAGAGACUUUGGUGUUAUUUGGUGUUGUUGGUCCUGACAGUCAGGGUCAAGUAGAAGAAUAUGAAUCAAUGAAGCUUGAGGAAAAAUUAGAAAAUUAGUCUAGCAAGGGGAGCCCCAUUUCUGUGCAGAAACAUAUGGCCACCUAUAACCAGCAGCUAAAGAUAUUGGACUUCUUUUAACAUACAGAGGUGCCCAGAACAAGUGUAAGGGCCUCAGUGAGCUGCAAGUUAACGUUUUGUUGCUUUCCAAGUCUGCUUUUCUGGAAUCCUGACAUCCCCUACAAAUAAAAUCAACAUUGUGGACUGUCUCAUUUUAGCCAUGAAAGGAAUGGACCUAAAGUCUGGUUAGUGUCUGAGGUGGUGGUUGUCGAAGGUUCCAGAGAGGUGCCAAGGAAAUAUGGCUCAGCCGCAUCUCCAUGAGGAGGAGUAAGUCCAUGCUUCUGCCCACAGGGGCCUUCUAGGCUACCGGUGAGCUGUCACUUCCUCUUCCAGGAGAGUUUGAUGGGUGCUGGUGCAGCAGCCGACUUAGGAACCAGAGGAGGUGAAGACACCCAGGAGAUCAGAGCAGGGCUGGGGAGUGAGGAGAGCAGCGCUUAGUGCUUUUGAAUGAUGAAUUCCUGCCCUUAGAGACUUAGUAGGUGGCGUCAUUUCCUCCCGGGUACCCGUCCCCCCAACACCUGCUUUGUCAUUAAAGGACGAUCCACCUCUGCCGAAGAAGAACUUAAAGGACAGGCAUGUAAGACGCAUUAAAUGACAAAAUAUAACCUGAUGAACAAAGGCAAGGGGGCAGUCUCGGUUCAUUGAGCCAGGGGGAUUUGGGUAAACUUCCCAGGGGCAUCCCUGGUGACCCCUCCAAAACCCCAGCAAGAGGCUGAACUGGGCAAGGGUUAACUGGCAUUUCUUGAUGAAGUGAUUUCAGCUCUGAAAGUCUGAUGCUCGCGGCCCCAGCAGGAGGCCCCUGGAGUCCCAGGUUUGGGACAGGGCGAAGUGCCAGGCGG